GAAGAAACUUUGUUAGGGUGAAAGCAAAGUUGGGAAAGUUGUAAUUACAACUUAAAAAGAUGCAAGGGAAGAAAUUCAUAAUGAAAGAGCAAGAAUUGCAGUUUGAAGAAUAAGAAGUUUUGGUUAUUGAGAUUUCACCUUUUGAAAUCCAAGAUUAUAAGAGUGAGUUGGAAAAUUUUGAAGAACUUAUUCUAGAUAAAGAAGCUGAUGAGAUAU
rnacentral:misc_RNA from 1 species